GAGACCGUGCACAGCUCGGUGCAAGGACCAAGGGCAUUGCACGAGUGACAGGGACAUGAGCACAGCUCGGUGCGUGGUCCCAGGACGUUGCAGCAGGGCUGUGCCCAGCUCGCUGCCCACCCCAGGGGCCAUCUCUCACCUGCACCUCGCAGGCUGCCUGCAGGUGGAAGAUGCUGUAGAAAGCCUCCUCGGCGGUGUCGCCCAGCGCCAGCACCCCGUGGUUGCGCAGCACCAGGAUCUGCAGCACCGGGCACAGGGGAUCAGCGGGGUGGCAGGGGUCGGGGAAGGGGUCC